rnacentral:rRNA from 1 species
CCUACGGGGGGCUGCAGUGGGGAAUAUUGCACAAUGGGCGAAAGCCUGAUGCAGCAACGCCGCGGGAGCGAUGAAGGCCUUCGGGUCGUAAAGCUCUGUCCUUAAAGAAGAUAAUGACGGUACUUGAGGAGGAAGCCCCGGCAAACUACGUGCCAGCAGCCGCGGUAAUACGUAGGGGGCUAGCGUUAUCCGGAAUUACUGGGCGUAAAGGGUCCGUAGGUGGGUUCUUAAGUCAGAGGUGAAAGGAUACGGCUAAACCGUAGUAAGCAUGUGAAACUGGGAAACUUGAGUGCAGAAUAGGAGAGUGGAAUUCCUAGUGUAGCGGUGAAAUGCGUAGAUAUUAGGAGGAACACCAGUUGCGAAGGCGGCUCUCUGGACUGUAACUGACACUGAGGCACGAAAGCGUGGGGAGCAAACAGGAUUAGAUACCCGAGUAGUC